ACAUUUAUCUGGCAGGGGAGAUUACCAGGAUCAUGAAGGUGGUUUUACCAAGGUGAGGCUCAUCCGCUGCAUUCUGGGUGUUGCUUCUCCCUUGGAUUUCUCCUAAUGUAAGAAACUGACUACAUAUUUUGCAUCAGUGGGGUACUGUGUUCACGAUUUCCCCUA